rnacentral:misc_RNA from 1 species
GUUCUAACGAAUGAAAUUGACUACGUUAGAUUAGUAGCUAAAAUCCUUAUAUCAAAAGAAAAGAUCAAAAUGACAGAAAGGAUAAUAUUAUAUACUUAAUACGUACGUCUAGAUACUGACAUAGCAAAUGAUUCAUCACAUUUCUUUCUUAUUUCUUUAUAUCACAUCUGACUAUUAUCUUAUCUAAUAAGUAUAUUAGUAUGAGUAUAAGAUAAGGUUCUCCCUAUUUCUAUUCUAUAUUGAUUAGAAUGAUAUACUAUAAAAAAUUGAAGAGUUAUUGUGAAUCAAUUCUCAUUGAAGUUGAAAAAAUAAUUGAAUUCCAGAGUUUGAUAGAUCUUUUGAAGAUUAAUCGGACGAGAAUAAAGAGAGAGUCCCAUUUUACAUGUAAAUACCAACAACAAUGAAAUUUAGAGUAAGAGGAAAAUCCGUCGAAUUUUAAAAUCGUGAGGGUUCAAGUCCCUCUAUCCCCAAGAAAAAGCCCAUUUGACUUCCUCACUCUGUUCUUUCACAAAUGGAUCCGAAUAUCCAUUUUCGGAUAUUCUUCCAAUUGCAAUCCAAUUUCAUUUGUAUAGAUACGAUACCUGCACAAAUGAGCAUAUAUGUUCAAGAAAUUUCCGUUAUUUAAUAAUUCACAGUCCAUAUCAUUAUCCUUACAUUUACAAAAAUCUUUUUUAGUUCUUUUCAUUGAUAUAGAUAAUAGAUACAAGUACUCUGCUAGGAUGAUGCACGGAAAAUG